UGGGGAAUUUUGGACAAUGGGGGCAACCCUGAUCCAGCAAUGCCGCGUGAGUGAAGAAGGCCUUCGGGUUGUAAAGCUCUUUUGUCAGGGAAGAAACGGUGGUCUCUAAUAUAGGCUGCUAAUGACGGUACCUGAAGAAUAAGCACCGGCUAACUACGUGCCAGCAGCCGCGGUAAUACGUAGGGUGCAAGCGUUAAUCGGAAUUACUGGGCGUAAAGCGUGCGCAGGCGGUUAUAUAAGUCAGAUGUGAAAUCCCCGGGCUCAACCUGGGAACUGCAUUUGAGACUGUAUGGCUAGAGUGUGUCAGAGGGGGGUAGAAUUCCACGUGUAGCAGUGAAAUGCGUAGAUAUGUGGAGGAAUACCGAUGGCGAAGGCAGCCCCCUGGGAUAACACUGACGCUCAUGCACGAAAGCGUGGGGAGCAAACAGG
rnacentral:rRNA from 1 species